rnacentral:snoRNA from 1 species
AUCGUUUGUAGUUCAUAAGCCUGAUGAGUGGGUAUUCAUGCUCUUGUGUGAGAUGUGCUUCCCUCAGACCUUAUUAUGACUGGCAUGAAA